rnacentral:misc_RNA from 1 species
AAAGUCGUAACAAGGUUUCCGUAGGUGAACCUGCGGAAGGAUCAUUACAGUGCCCGGGGCUCGCUCACGCCUGCCCCACCGGCCCCACACGUGCCUACCGACCCUGUUGCCUCGGCGGACCCGCCACCCAGUGGCCGCCGGAGUGGGGGAGACCCCCUCUGGUCAGCGUCCGCCGAAGGACCUACAAAACAAAUCUUUAAGUAAAUGCAGCCUGAGUGAUUAUACAAAUUAAUUAAAACUUUCAACAACGGAUCUCUUGGUUCCG